GCGGCAGGCCGCUUUAUCGCCCCGAGUACUCGGGGAGGAAAGUCCGGGCAACGCAGGGCGCCGUGUUUCUUAGCGGGAAGGUCUUUGAAAGGGGACAGUAGUGUAACAGAAAAUAACCACCUUGUUCUGAUGUAUUCAGAGCGGGGAACGGGUGAAAAGGUGCGGUAAAAGCGCACCGGUUCCGGCAGCAAUGUCGGGAGCCGUACGCCUCACGGGUUGCAAAGCCAUGUAUAUCCUGAUUGUAUGCCGCUGUUGCGGUACAGCAAGGUUGCCCGCCUUGUUUCUCUUCGCACAAGGAAGUCAGGAGGGGUAGGCUGCAGGACUCCGGCAGUGAUGUCGGGGCAAGAUAAAUGAUAAAGGUUACUGACGAUUCUGUCAGUAUAACAGAACCCGGCUUACAGGUUUGCCAUUUUU
rnacentral:RNase_P_RNA from 1 species